UGGAUGGGUUCAUACGUGUCUCAUCAGGUACAACUCUUCACAGACCAAGUGCAUAAUUAAGGCCAAGGUUCACAGAUCCCAAGCUGUGACAGAGAAGCCCCAUGAAGCAUGGGUUGGUCUGGAUAAGAGCGGCAGGGUGGAGUGUGCACACUGUACAUGCAUGGCAGGAUUGGGUGAAGUCUGUUCACAUGUUGCUGGUAUCCUAUUUAAAGUGGAGGCCUGUGUACGAUUUGAGUACAAC